rnacentral:rRNA from 1 species
UACGGGGGGGGCAAGCGUUGUUCGGAAUUACUGGGCGUAAAGGGCGCGUAGGCGGUGCUCUAAGUCGGAUGUGAAAACUCUGGGCUCAACCCAGAGCCUGCAUCCGAAACUGGAGUGCUAGAGUUCUGGAGGGGGUAGCGGAAUUCCUGGUGUAGCGGUGAAAUGCGUAGAUAUCAGGAGGAACACCUGUGGUGUAGACAGCUUACUGGACCAUAACUGACGCUGAGGCACGAAAGCGUGGGUAGCAAACAGG